CGUAAAGGGCGUGUAGGCGGGGAUGAAAGUCAGAUGUGAAAUCCCGAGGCUCAACCUCGGAACGGCGUUUGAAACUCCAUCUCUUGAGGGUAGGCGGGGAAAACGGAAUUCCACAUGUAGCGGUGAAAUGCGUAGAUAUGUGGAGGAACACCGGUGGCGAAGGCGGUUUUCUAGCUUAUACCUGACGCUGAGGCGCGAAAGCAAGGGGAGCAAACAGGAUUAGAUACCCUGGUAGUCCUUGCCGUAAACGAUGUAUACUUGAUGUAGUUGGGCUCAAUCCUGACUGUGUCGUAGCUAACGCGAUAAGUAUACCGCCUGGGGAGUACACUCGCAAGGGUGAAACUCAAAAGAAUUGACGGGGGCCCGCACAAGCAGUGGAGCAUGUGGUUUAAUUCGAUGCAACGCGAAGAACCUUACCCAGACUUGACAUACAGUAGACAUCAGCAGAAAUGCUGCUUCCCGUAAGGGCUGCUGUACAGGUGCUGCAUGGCUGUCGUCAGCUCGUGCCGUGAGGUGUUGGGUUAAGUCCCGCAACGAGCGCAACCCUUAUCAUUAGUUGCCAACACGUAAUGGUGGGGACUCUAGUGAGACUGCCUGGGUUAACCAGGAGGAAGGUGAGGAUGACGUCAAGUCAGCAUGGCCUUUAUGUCUGGGGCUACACACGUGCUACAAUGGUCGGUACAGAAGGCAGCGAAGUCGUGAGAUGGAGCAAAUCCCAAAAGCCGGCCUCAGUUCAGAUUGUAGUCUGCAACUCGACUACAUGAAGUUGGAAUUGCUAGUAAUGGCGUGUCAGCUACA
rnacentral:rRNA from 1 species